GGGGCAACUAAAACUACAAUUCCCAGGAAGCUCAGCGGCGCAGAUCGCGCUGUGUGGCGGGAGUGCCCUCUGAAGCUCCGCCUUCAUGGGCUGGUGGAGGGAGCUUUCCCGCGGAUGGGUAUGGCGAAUUGUUGGCACCUGGAUGACUAAAUCUUCAAGUUGUCAUAAAUCAAGAUCACAAGCCAAAGAGUAACAUAGGAAAUAAAAAAGACUGGAUCAUUUUAUCAGAUUUUACUGUUUCGUAUACAGAAGGCUAUAUGGGACUAUUUUGCCAGAUUCUAAAUGAUAAAAAUUAGAGCCUUGAAACCCAUAGAAGUCCAGUAUAUUCUGAGGUAAUUUGCAUAUUAAUGAGCAGCAGCAGGAGACACAUCUGGUGUACCAAAAAGACCCACUGAAAAUUAAAUGAUACAACAUUCAGAACAACUGGCAGGUAAAUAACAAAGAUAUAUAUGUUAACUGUGAAAUUUUUGUGAGGGAAAAACAAUGAACAUGACUGAUUAUGUGAAAAGGACUUUGCUAUAGACUGAAUGUUUACGUCCCUGAAAUUCAUAUAUUGAAACUUAAUCUCUAAAGUGAUGGUAUUUGGAGGUGGGCCUUUGGGAAAUGAUUAAUUGUCCUUUUAAAAGAGAACACAAGAGCUCGUUUGCCCCUUUCCACUAUGUGAGGACACAGCAAAAAGACAGCUGUCAAUGAACUAGGGAAUGAGUGGUUCUCACCAGACACUGAAUCUGUCAGGGCCUUGAUCUUGGACUUCUUAGCCUCCAGAACUAUGAGAAAUAAAUGUUUGUUGUUUAAGCCACCCAGUCUAUGGUAUUUUUGUUAUAGCAGCCUGAACAAACUAAGACAAACUUUGAAAGUUUAGCAUAGUAACUUUAGGGAAGUUGGAAAUAAAGCAAAAGUUCCACAUUUUUUCCCAUAGAACAAUGCUGUAUAAAUGUCUCAUUCACUAGGAUAGCCCAUAUAAACCUAUUUGAACUAUUGAUACAGCUGAAAUAUUUGUCCUUUGCAGUAAUUACUGUUAUAAUGCUACAAAUAAAAAAAUUUAUAUUUAUUAUUUCUAAUGCUUUUGAAAAAUUAUGUAGAAUUCUUUAGAAGAUGAGGAGGUAGAUGGAGACAGUUAUUUUUAAGGAUUAAAUGGCCAAUGGCAGUUUUUUUCCUAACUUUUUAUUAUGGAAAUUAAAAAAAACACAUACACAAGUAGAUGGAAUAGUGGAUGUGGAUACCUGUGCUUAAUGGAGAAGUAAAUUGUUGGCAAAGAAAAGUUGGGUCAAAGAUUCCUCCAUCAGUCACUGAGCGAUAAGAGCAGUUUGAGAUGGUUUUGUAGUUAUCUGAUUUGGGUUCUGGAGGGAUAGAAGGAGCUGGAGGCAGUUUUGUAUUGAUUCAUGGAUUGAGUAAAUAGAUACAUAGCUAAGUUCUUUGCAGACCAGUGAUUAGAUUCUGGAAGUAGGGAGUGUAGGAUUCCUGGGUUUGAUUAUUUCUUCUUUCAUCUGUGGUUAUUAUUAACUAUGGAUAUUUUGCUUGUUUCUUGUUUAGUUUCAAAAUUAUGUGAGUUUUACAUUUUAUAUGAAUUUUAGAGAAUUAUUGGCUAUUGAGAAAACAGUGAAUUUUUAGGAACAAAAGUGAUUUCCCUAAGAAAGUUCAUUCUAAAUGUAUUAUCUGUAUGAAACAAUUUUUUGUUUAUAUUGUGAAGUAAAUGAUUUAUGUAAUAUAAAAUGGAGAACUAUUUAUCUAUAUUUUCAAGUGUUUUAUUUAAAAAAUAGGAAUAAUUAUGUAAAAGAUUUUGACAACCAAAUGCUUUGUGUUGUAAAUGAUUGCAGAAGUUUUUACUGGUAUUUUUGGCCACUUUGUGGAAAAGUUGUUAGGUGUAUUUUUGAGUGGGGCUAUCAUCAUAAGGCAAUGUGAUAUGUAAGAAAAACCCUGAAUCAGAAGUCAGAAAGCCUGGGUUUAUUAUGGCUAUGUCACUUAUUACUGUGUGUCCUUGGGCAAAUCACUUGUCUUUCUGAAUCUUUGUUUUUAUUUGCUGAAUGAAAGGUUUGGACUAGAU